ACAUGCAAGUCGAGGGGUAGAAGCAGCUUGCUGCUUUGAGACCGGCGCACGGGUGCGUAACGCGUAUGCAAUCUACCUUUUACAGAGGGAUAGCCCAGAGAAAUUUGGAUUAAUACCUCAUAGUAUGUGAGAAUCGCAUGGUUUUCACAUUAAAGUUCCAACGGUAAAAGAUGAGCAUGCGUCCCAUUAGCUAGAUGGUAAGGUAACGGCUUACCAUGGCGACGAUGGGUAGGGGUCCUGAGAGGGAGAUCCCCCACACUGGUACUGAGACACGGACCAGACUCCUACGGGAGGCAGCAGUGAGGAAUAUUGGACAAUGGGCGCAAGCCUGAUCCAGCCAUGCCGCGUGCAGGAUGACGGUCCUAUGGAUUGUAAACUGCUUUUGUACAGGAAGAAACACUCCCUCGUGAGGGAGCUUGACGGUACUGUAAGAAUAAGGAUCGGCUAACUCCGUG
rnacentral:rRNA from 1 species